AGGUCGUUGAGAAGAUGAGGGAAUAAAACCCAAUAUAAUGAAUGUCAUGAAAGAUUUGCAUUCUCCAAAUGUUUGAUUAGAGUUUGUCAAAAAAAAAAAGAAAAGAAAAGAAAAAAAAGAAAAAAAGAGGUUGUUACAUAAAAUGAAAGGGGAAAUUCUCUUCUAAGACCGAAACCACCAUCGUGCAGGCACUUCUUCUAAAUUGGAAUAUUCUGUCCUUGAAAGUCUCUGCAUGUAAACAAAAGUCACAAGUUCAGGGAAGCUGAAACUCUCUGGACUCCCGAGGCCUCUCUCCACAGUCAGAAAAGCAGUAAAUACCUGCAGGGAACACGAGACUCUGACUGACCAAGGUGCCUGAGGAUGUUUCUGUUGAACUGCCUGAAAAAAUGGCCAGAGCACCGGUCUGACAGCUGUGUGAGUUGCUACUUAAGCCAGGGUGGGCUUUGAAGCUGCUUUCCUGUGGUCAGGCCUGUCUUUUAUGCCUUUAAUGACCUCCAGUAAUGUCACCAGAUCACCAAGAUAGGGCUUUUUGGAAUCACUACUUUGUUCUGUCCUUGAUUGUCUAACUGGGGCUGAUGUGAGUUACUCCAGUCUUCUCUGCUAUCAUGAUAUCAUUCUGCUUUCCCAUGGCCGGUUCACCAGCAGCUUCUUGCUCAAGUGACUCCACACCCUGAAGACUGCGUGGAUGUCAUCAAUAGACUCGAUCUGUCAUAAACCUACUGGAAGAGGACAUAUGUACACGUUUGCCAAAGUAAGAUUCAGGUAGGAAUAAAGCAUUGUAACUGAACAGCAGACCUGAUUAGAGACCAAUGGAUGCGAAUGGACCAAAUUGCAUCUGAGCUGACAUUUGUUUGACUUUCAGUUUGUAGCAACCAGUUUUCCCUGACAAAAGUGUAUUUAUAGCUGUCAUCGAUGGCAAAGCACAGCCAAGGGCAGCAAACAAUAGCAAAAUAUAUACUACUACUCUGCAUAAACAGUAAGAAAAGGGGUGAGAAUGAGAGAGGAGACAGAGACUUGUGUCUUCUCAGAGUGGAAAUGGGUGUUUGUUUUGUGUUGUUUUUUUUCUGAUUAUUGCUUGUGAAG
rnacentral:sRNA from 1 species